GAUGAACGCUGGCGGCGUGCCUAAUACAUGCAAGUCGAGCGAACAGAUGAGGAGCUUGCUCCUCUGACGUUAGCGGCGGACGGGUGAGUAACACGUGGAUAACCUACCUAUAAGACUGGGAUAACUUCGGGAAACCGGAGCUAAUACCGGAUAAUAUAUUGAACCGCAUGGUUCAAUAGUGAAAGACGGUUUUGCUGUCACUUAUAGAUGGAUCCGCGCCGCAUUAGCUAGUUGGUAAGGUAACGGCUUACCAAGGCAACGAUGCGUAGCCGACCUGAGAGGGUGAUCUGCCACACUGGAACUGAGACACGGUCCAGACUCCUACGGUGGGCAGCAGUAGGGAAUCUUCCGCAAUGGGCGAAAGCCUGACGGAGCAACGCCGCGUGAGUGAUGAAGGUCUUCUGAUCGUAAAACUCUGUUAUUAGGGAAGAACAAAUGUGUAAGUAACUAUGCACGUCUUGACGGUACCUAAUCAGAAAGCCACGGCUAACUACGUG
rnacentral:rRNA from 1 species